rnacentral:misc_RNA from 1 species
GGGCGUGUGAGUGGUGUUUGGAAUGUUGGGAUGGUAGGCUCCGUGCUUUUUGCAUCGANCUGCCACACCGCAUCCUUUUCAAGCCUCAAGCAUUGCUURUAUGCUUGWGAGUCGAUCGUGUUCCUGUAUCUGAUACCCAUGUCGGAGGAACUAGGCCCCGGUUCUCUUUUUUCCUCUCGGUGCCUCUCAGGGGCAUCGAGCGGAGCACGUAGUCUGAUCCCUCGAACCUAGCUGCCCGUUUGGUUGCAACGGUUGUCGGAUCAAAAGCUCGUGUUCUCGGAUGCGGAAUAUUCGAUGGGUCCAAGGAUCGUAUCCUUGCAUCGACCCUGUGUGGGAAAUCGUCCCUCGGUAAGAACGACAUCCGCUGCGCGUUCCGAAACAUCCUACGUCCUCUGGGGUUGAGGGUGCUUCGUGCGUGCAUCGGUGUCCUCGGAGGAAUGCUACCUGGUUGAUCCUGCCAGUAGUCAUAUGCUUGUCUCAAAGAUUAAGCCAUGCAUGU